rnacentral:misc_RNA from 1 species
CUAUCUUCGUAGCUUUUGGCUGAAUAUCUUGUCCACAUAGGUGAGUUUCCAAUGGAGCUAGAAUUACUCUUGGAUUUUGGUGUGGUUUCAGAUUCGACUAACCAGUUUGAAAGGCUGGUAUCUACCGCAAUCUCAUCCUCGGCGUGCUUUGAAUCGCUACGAGUUUCUUUCAACUUUCUCCUUGAACAAAAAGUAGGCUCCGG